UGUGUGUAGACCUGCUGAUGGGCUUCCUCUGUGACUGUCCCGAUGGCAUGAGGCUGGUGCACAACACCCAAUGUGAGGAAAGACACGUGCCUCAACACUGACGUCUGUGAUCAGCUAUGUGUACAUGUCAACAGGACUUUCUCCUGCGACUGCCAUGAGGGCUACCUGAUGAGCCCAAGGACAGGGGAGUGCAAGGCUAAAGGAGAUGUGGCUCAGCUGGUGUUGAGCAGUUCUGAGGGGGUACGCCGGGUCAACACUGCCGGUAUGGAGUACAGGGAGAUAGCUGCUCACUUAUUGGGACCAGGGCCUAUGG